rnacentral:rRNA from 1 species
UACGUAGGGUGCAAGCGUUAAUCGGAAUUACUGGGCGUAAAGCGUGCGCAGGCGGUUGUGUAAGACAGAUGUGAAAUCCCAUGGCUCAACCAUGGAACUGCUCGGUAUACUGCGAAUCUUGAGCCACUUAGGGGCUACCGGAACAAAUGGUGGAGCGGUGAAAUGCGUAGAUAUCAUUUGGAACGCCAAUGGUGAAAACAGGUAGCUGGGAGUGUGCUGACACUGAGACACGAAAGCCAGGGGAGCGAACGGG